GCGUAUCGGGAUGAAAUAAGCAUGCGAGUCAUUGUAGCAAUACAAGGCAGACGGCUCAGUAACGCGUAGUCAAUCUACCCUAUGGACGGGAAUAACCUCGGGAAACUGAGAAUAAUGCCCGAUAGAACAUUAUACCUGGAACGGUUUAUGUUUCAAAUGAUUUAUCGCCGUAGGAUGGGACUGCGGCCUAUCAGUUUGUUGGUGAGGUAAUGGCCCACCAAGACUAUUACAGGUACGGGCUCUGAGAGGAGUAGCCCGGAGAUGGGUACUGAGACACGGACCCAGGCCCUAUGGGGCGCAGCAGGCGAGAAAACUUUGCAAUGUGCGAAAGCACGACAAGGUUAAUCCGAGUGGUUUCUGCUAAAGAAACCUUUUGCUAGUCCUAGAAACACUAGUGAAUAAGGGGUGGGCAAGUUCUGGUGUCAGCCGCCGCGGUAAAACCAGCACCUCAAGUGGUCAGGAUGAUUAUUGGGCCUAAAGCAUCCGUAGCUCGUUUUGUAAGUUUUCGGUUAAAUCCAUACGCUCAACGUAUGGGCUGCCGGGAAUACUGCAUAACUAGGAAGUGGGAGAGGUAGACGGUACUCGGUAGGAAGGGGUAAAAUCCUUUGAUCUAUUGAUGACCACCUGUGGCGAAGGCGGUCUACCAGAACACGUUCGACGGUGAGGGAUGAAAGCUGGGGGAGCAAACCGGAUUAGAUACCCGGGUAGUCCCAGCUGUAAACUAUGCAAACUCAGUGAUGCAUUGGCUUGUGGCCAAUGCAGUGCUGCAGGGAAGCCGUUAAGUUUGCCGCCUGGGAAGUACGUACGCAAGUACGAAACUUAAAGGAAUUGGCGGGGGAGCACCACAAGGGGUGAAGCCUGCGGUUCAAUUGGAGUCAACGCCGGG
rnacentral:rRNA from 1 species